rnacentral:rRNA from 1 species
AUUGAACGCUGGCGGCAGGCUUAACACAUGCAAGUCGAACGAGUGGCGGACGGGUGAGUAAUGCUUGGGAAUCUGCCUGAUGGCGGGGGAUAACUACUGGAAACGGUAGCUAAUACCGCAUACCAUCAGAUGAACCCAUAUGGGAUUAGCUUGUAGGUGGGGUAAGGGCUCACCUAGGCGACGAUCCCUAGCUGGUCUGAGAGGAUGAUCAGCCACACUGGGACUGAGACACGGCCCAGAAUCCUACGGGAGGCAGCAGUGGGGAAUAUUGCGCAAUGGGGGCAACCCUGAGGCAGCCAUGCCGCGUGAAUGAAGAAGGCCUUCGGGUUGUAAAGUACUUUCGGUAGGGAGGCGUUACCUGCAGAAGAAGCACCGGCUAACUCCGUGCCAGCAGCCGCGGUAAUUC